rnacentral:rRNA from 1 species
CCUACGGGAGGCAGCAGUAGGGAAUAUUGCUCAAUGGGGGAAACCCUGAAGCAGCAACGCCGCGUGGAGGAUGAAGGCUUUCGGAUUGUAAAAUCCUUUUGUUAGAGAAGAUAAUGACGGUAUCUAACGAAUAAGCACCAGCUAACUCCGUGCCAGCAGCCGCGGUAAUACGGAGGGUGCAAGCGUUACUCGGAAUCACUGGGCGUAAAGAGCGCGUAGGCGGGAUAGCAAGUCAGAUGUGAAAUCCUAUGGCUUAACCAUAGAACUGCAUUUGAAACUGUUAGUCUAGAGUAUGGGAGAGGUAGGUGGAAUGCUUGGUGUAGAGGUGAAAUGCGUAGAGAUCAAGAGGAAUACUCAUUGCGAAGGCGGCCUGCUGGAACAUAACUGACGCUGAGGCGCGAAAGCGUGGGGAGCAAACAGGAUUAGAUACCCUUGUAGUC